rnacentral:rRNA from 1 species
CCUUAGAGUUCGGAAUAACCUGCCGAAAGGCGGGCUAAUACUGGAUAGAGCGAUGGAAGUCGUAAUGACUUUUUCGGGAAAGGGAGCUUGAUAAGAGCCCUCGCUUUAAGCUGAGCCUGCGUCUGAUUAGUUAGUUGGUGAGGUAACGGCUCACCAAGACGAUGAUCAGUAGCUGGUCUGAGAGGAUGAUCAGCCACACUGGAACUGAAACACGGUCCAG